rnacentral:rRNA from 1 species
UACGUAGGGGGCAAGCGUUGUCCGGAUUUAUUGGGCGUAAAGCGCUCGCAGGUGGUUCAUUGCGUCGUGCGUGAAAGACCCCGGCUCAACUGGGGAGUGUCGUGCGAAACGGGUGAACUAGAGGCCAGUAGGGGGAUGCGGAAUUCCGGGUGUAGUGGUGGAAUGCGUAGAGAUCGGGAGGAACACCUGUGGCGAAGGCGGCCGACUGGGCCGACCCUGACGCUGAGGCGCGAAGGCGUGGGGAGCGAACGGGG